rnacentral:lncRNA from 1 species
UCUUUCUAUUCUAUUGCUAUUUUCAUUAGCCGGGUUAUUUAGGGUUGUAACUCAAAUUUUAGGUUGUUUGUCUUGUUGUUUACUCAAUGAAAUACAGUUUGUCCUUUUGUGUCAUUCCAUGCUUAAUUCUUUUCUCGCUAGUUUUAAUGACAUGACAUGUAUGAGGAAUUUUUUUCCAGAUCUUAGAAAUUUGAUUUAAGUUUGAAUUGGACAACUGAGGAAAAGACAUUUUUGAGGAUAAAUAAAGAGUUGAAAUACUUUGGAAUUAAGGUCGAGUAAAAUUCACCUUCAAAUCAUUGUGACGAUCGGGCUUGAUGAUGUUUAAUCAAUUGAAGUUUGUUAGAAAUUUUGACAUUAAGGGAUGGAAAGUGUCUUGUGACCACGACACACCAAGAGGACAGACAUGUUCAUCAAUGCUGUGAUCGCGAAAGAUACUAUGUUUGGGGUUCUUGAAGUUGGGAGACCCUUUUUUCUGCUACCCAAACACUUUAUACUCUUUGUCACCCCUUUGAACCUGCAUUAUUUUCUUUGACCACCCUCUUUUGGAAUCAAUUUAGAGUCAAGAUUAAAAAAAAAUGAAAAAAAAGUUCAUGUCCCAAGAGUACAAACUGGGGAAAUUCUUAGAAAGUUCAAGUGCAAAAAAGAAGAAGAAAAGAAUUGACAAAGGUCCAUGCCCCCAGAAAAUAGAAGCUGGGCCAACAAGAGGGAAAAAAAUGAGGAAAAAAAAAGAAAAUGAAGAAAAAACAGAAAGAAAGAAAAAAAUAGUUAGGUCAAAUGUUCAAACUACGUUAGACCUGAUUCCUUUAAAGGAUACGUAGGCAGCCUCAAAUAUUUUUUCUCUCUUAUGUAGAAGUACUUUCGAAGGUAUGACCGGCCUCGUCUGUUUUCCUAUGACUCCCCGGAGCACUACUAUCUACCUUAGAACUCACAAUACUAUGUUGCUCCACCUUAGUAUGUUGUCUAGCCACCAAAACACCCCAGAAGGCGAGCACGAGCAUCACAAAAUCUCCACCAGCCUCCACAAAAUUUUCAAGUGCCCUAUAACCCACAUCCAAGCCAGGGGUAUAACGGAAAACAAAGACUGAAAGAUAAUUUUACACCAAUAGGAGAGUCUUAUGCAAGCUUGUUUGAGAUAUUAAAGCAUUAUGACAUGAUUGCACCUAUUCCUCUAAAUAAUGUGGACCCACAUGUAAGAAACUUUGACCUUUCUAAAAGGUGUGAAUACCAUUCUAAUGUCCAGGGUCACAAUAUUGAAAGCUGUCGGGAUUUGAAAAGAGAAAUAGAAAGGAUGAUCUAGGAAAAACUGAUUGUGAUCCAAGACAGUGACACCCAGAAUAUUGUGCAUAAUCCUUUACAUGCACAUGAUGAGGCACACUUUGUGGGGAUGAUGCCUGGUGACAUGGAGUAUGAGAAUCCUUUAGGGAACUUGCCGACUGAAAUUGGAGAAGGCUAUGGUGAUUCUGAUGAGAAAAUUUGUGGCUAAAUGUCAAGCUUAGCAAUUGAAAAGUCAUUCCCUCCUCACUAGGAAGGAAUCUUGGUAGUUUGUUUUGAUGUUUUUUCUAUUAUCUGGGUUAUUUCAGGGUUGUGAUCCAGAUUUUAUUUGUUUUAUUUAGUCAAACCCUUCUAUCCCUCCAUUUUGUUUGUGUGAGUCUUGUCUUUCUAUUAUGUUUCUAUUUUCAUUAGCCGGGAUAUUUAGGGUUGUAACUCAAAUUUUAGGUUGUUUGUCUUGUUGUUUACUCAAUGAAAUACAGUUUGUCCUUUUGUGUCAUUCCAUGCUUAGUUCUUUUCCCGCUAGUUUUAAUGACAUGACAUGUAUGAGGAAUUUUCUGCCAAAUCUCAGAAAAUUGAUUUAAGUUUGAAUUGGACAACUGAUGAAAAGGCAUUUUUGAGGAUGAAUAAAGAGUUGAAAUACUUUGGAAUUAAGGUCGAGUAACAUUCACCUUCAAAUCAUUGUGACGAUCGGGCUUGAGGAUGUUUAAUCAAUUGAAGUUUAUUAAAAAUUUUGACAUUAAGGGAUGGAAAGUGUCUUGUGACCACGACACACCAAGAGGACAGACAUGUUCGUCAAAGUUGUGAUCGCGAAAGAUACUAUGUUUGGGGUUCUUGAGGUUGGGAGGCCUUUUUUUGCUACCCAAACACUUUAUACUCUUUGUCACCCCUUUGAACCUGUGUUAUUUUCUUUGACCACCCUCUUUUGGAAUCAAGUUAGAGUCAAGAUUCAAAAAAAUGAAAAAAAAGAAAAGAAAAAGAAAAAAAAAGUCCAUGUCCCAAGAGUACAAACUGGGGAAAUUCUUAGAAAGUUCAAGUGAAAAAAAGAAGAAGAAAAGAACGGACAAAGGUCCAUGCCCCCAGAAAAUAGAAGCUGGGGCAAACAAGAAGGAAAAAAAUGAGGAAAAAAAAGAAAAAGAAGAAAAAACAUAAAUAAAGAAAAAAAAUAGUUAGGUCAAAUGUUUGAACUAUGUUAAACCUGAUUACUUUAAUGAUACGUAGGCAGCCUCACGGUUCGGUCCAUCUAAAUAAGAAUUCAAAAAAAAAAUCCCAGUAGCUGAAACUGGGGCAGAGAUUUUGUUUCACUUUUGAAAGAGUCGAUUCCAAGAGUUGUAAGUCUGCAACCCCAUCAUUUUGAGUCUAUUUUGAGCCUUCAUGACGUCAUUUCUUUCCAACCCUAUCAAAAAUCCUUCCAAAUAAAUACCUCCCACUAUGCCUUCAAGAAUGCCAAAAGAAGCAUGCAAUGAGCAACGGUUGUCACACGACAUAGAACACUGUCAAGUUGCUCACAAAAGAAAAUCAAAAAAAAAAAAGUGGAAAGAAAAGAA